GGAGGGUAGCAUGAACGGAGAUCAUAGGAGGACUUACAGAGGGAAUCCAACGAAAGAGAAGAUGUCCCUGUGGGAGAGUGAAGGAGUGAGCUCGCCAAGCACAACCAGCAGGGAUGAAAGGCUAACUCAGUGAACAACAGAAAGACAGACGGACUUCUGAACAGACACACCAACCAGCAGAAACCACUGGGGAAAGCAACAGUCAGCCAGUGCGACUGACUUAGAGUCCCAAACAGCUGUCUUCUUCUGGAUCUGCCGUGUGACCUGGGCCUCUAGCUAGAGGCCAGGAGAGGGGGACAAAAUCCUAUGGAGCUGGAGUUUGAGCCACCUGGCAUAGGUGCUAGAAAUUGAACUCAGACAGACUCUCUGGAAGAGAAGUGUAUUCUCUUAAUCGUUGAGCCAUCUCUUCAGCCCCCACCCACCACCACCACAGGGACAACAAAGAGAGGUGGCUCAGCAUGCAAGCAUGGGGACUGGAGUCUCAAAACUUUGAGAAUCCACCUAAACCUGAGUGUGGUGGUGCAUGGCUCUAAUCCCUGUUUACAGGCGUGUCCCAGACAUCCAUAAGGGUAACUGAAAUUGGACUUCUUCAUACUCCACCUGGUUCUUGCUCAAGUGAUCAGAAGGGAGAAGGGGUAUGCCGGGAGCACUCACUGAUUCCCUGGAGGAGCACUCACUGAUUCCCUGGAGGAGCACUCACUGUUUCCCUGAGGAACACUCAAUUUCCCUGGCCCUUUCGGGGCUCUAGAUGAGAAGUCUGUCUUGUGUGGUACACAGUGCACUCUGGCACAGCUCCCAUGAGACCAUAUAUUAUUUAUUUGCCUUUUAUAACUUCAGUUUUAUCAUCUGAAUAGGGCAAAAAUAACAUCUGAGAAACAAAACUCAGAAAACAAGCACAGUUACCAAAGAACUUUGGGAACUGUACCAAAGGUCAUCAUGGCCAUGUGUGAGGAUUCUAGCAGCUUUAUAAAUUUAAAAAAUGGCCAAUGAGAUCCAUCUGCUGUGGAACACUAAAGUCCAUGGGAUUUUAAAGAGCUCAUAUAUAGAUGACAUUCUAAGAGUAGAAAGAUGAGUUAGAGAAAGGACUAAAGGAGUUGAAGAUGUUUGCAAUCCCAUAGGAAGAACAACAAUAUCAACCAACCAGACCCCCCAGAAUUCCCAGAGACUAAGCCAUCAACAAAGGUGUACACAUGGCUCCAGCUGCAUCUGUAGCAGAGGAUGUCCUUGUCAGGCAUCAAUUGGAGGAGUGGUCCUUGGCCUCACAAAGGCCCGAUAGAUGCCCCAGUGUAGGGGAAUCAAGGGCAGGGAGGUGGGAGUGAGUGGAUGGGUGAAGGAACACCCUCACAGAAGCAGGGGGAGGGAGGAUGGGAUAGGGUGUUUCCAGGAGGGAUGGAAACCAGGAAAGGGGAUAACAUUUGAAAUGUAAAUAAAGGAAAUAUCCAAUUUUAAAAA
ensembl:antisense 0610031O16Rik RIKEN cDNA 0610031O16 gene